UGGGGGAUAUUGCACAAUGGGCGAAAGCCUGAUGCAGCGACGCCGCGUGGGGGAUGAAGGCCUUCGGGUUGUAAACUUCUUUUGCUCUGAACAAGGCAUGCCUUUGGGGUGUGUUGAGUGUAGGGGUUGAUUAGCGCCGGCUAACUACGUGCCAGCAGCCGCGGUAAUACGUAGGGCGCGAGCGUUGUCCGGAAUUAUUGGGCGUAAAGGGCUUGUAGGUGGCUGGUUGCGUCUGUCGUGAAAGCUCAUGGCUUAACUGUGGGUUUGCGGUGGGUACGGGCUGGCUUGAGUGCAGUAGGGGAGGCUGGAAUUCCUGGUGUAGCGGUGGAAUGCGCAGAUAUCAGGAGGAAUACCGGCGGCGAAGGCGGGUCUCUGGGCUGUUACUGACGCUGAGGAGCGAAAGCGUGGGGAGCGAACAGG
rnacentral:rRNA from 1 species